UAUGGAUGGACCCGCGGCGUAUUAGCUAGUUGGUGAGGUAAUGGCUCACCAAGGCGAUGAUACGUAGCCGACCUGAGAGGGUGAUCGGCCACACUGGGACUGAGACACGGCCCAGACUCCUACGGGAGGCAGCAGUAGGGAAUCUUCCGCAAUGGACGAAAGUCUGACGGAGCAAUGCCGCGUGAGUGAAGAAGGUUUUCGGAUCGUAAAACUCAGGGUUAGAGAAGAACAAGGAUGAGAGUAACUGCUCAUCCC
rnacentral:rRNA from 1 species